rnacentral:rRNA from 1 species
UACGAAGGGGGCUAGCGUUGCUCGGAAUUACUGGGCGUAAAGCGCACGUAGGCGGAUUGUUAAGUCGGGGUGAAAUCCUGGAGCUCAACUCCAGAACUGCCUUUGAUACUGAAGAUCUUGAGUCCGGGAGAGGUGAGUGGAACUGCGAGUGUAGAGGUGAAAUUCGUAGAUAUUCGCAAGAACACCAGUGGCGAAGGCGGCUCACUGGCCCGGUACUGACGCUGAGGCACGAAAGCGUGGGGAGCAAACAGG